rnacentral:rRNA from 1 species
GACGAACGCUGGCGGCGUGCUUAACACAUGCAAGUCGAACGGAAAGGCCCUGCUUUUGUGGGGUGCUCGAGUGGCGAACGGGUGAGUAACACGUGAGUAACCUGCCCUUGACUUUGGGAUAACUUCAGGAAACUGGGGCUAAUACCGGAUAGGAGCUCCUGCUGCAUGGUGGGGGUUGGAAAGUUUCGGCGGUUGGGGAUGGACUCGCGGCUUAUCAGCUUGUUGGUGGGGUAGUGGCUUACCAAGGCUUUGACGGGUAGCCGGCCUGAGAGGGUGACCGGCCACAUUGGGACUGAGAUACGGCCCAGACUCCUACGGGAGGCAGCAGUGGGGAAUAUUGCACAAUGGGCGGAAGCCUGAUGCAGCAACGCCGCGUGCGGGAUGACGGCCUUCGGGUUGUAAACCGCUUUCGCCUGUGACGAAGCGUGAGUGACGGUAAUGGGUAAAGAAGCACCGGCUAACUACGUGCCAGCAGCCGCGGUGAUACGUAGGGUGCGAGCGUUGUCCGGAUUUAUUGGGCGUAAAGGGCUCGUAGGUGGUUGAUCGCGUCGGAAGUGUAAUCUUGGGGCUUAACCCUGAGCGUGCUUUCGAUACGGGUUGACUUGAGGAAGGUAGGGGAGAAUGGAAUUCCUGGUGGAGCGGUGGAAUGCGCAGAUAUCAGGAGGAACACCAGUGGCGAAGGCGGUUCUCUGGGCCUUUCCUGACGCUGAGGAGCGAAAGCGUGGGGAGCGAACAGGCUUAGAUACCCUGGUAGUCCACGCUGUAAACGGUGGGUACUAGGUGUGGGGUCCAUUCCACGGGUUCCGUGCCGUAGCUAACGCUUUAAGUACCCCGCCUGGGGAGUACGGCCGCAAGGCUAAAACUCAAAGGAAUUGACGGGGCCCCGCACAAGCGGCGGAGCAUGCGGAUUAAUUCGAUGCAACGCGUAGAACCUUACCUGGGUUUGACAUGGAUCGGGAGUGCUCAGAGAUGGGUGUGCCUCUUUUGGGGUCGGUUCACAGGUGGUGCAUGGCUGUCGUCAGCUCGUGUCGUGAGAUGUUGGGUUAAGUCCCGCAACGAGCGCAACCCUUGUUCACUGUUGCCAGCACGUUAUGGUGGGGACUCAGUGGAGACCGCCGGGGUCAUCUCGGAGGAAGGUGGGGAUGACGUCAAGUCAUCAUGCCCCUUAUGUCCAGGGCUUCACGCAUGCUACAAUGGCUGGUACAGAGAGUGGCGAGCCUGUGAGGGUGAGCGAAUCUCGGAAAGCCGGUCUCAGUUCGGAUUGGGGUCUGCAACUCGACCUCAUGAAGUCGGAGUCGCUAGUAAUCGCAGAUCAGCAACGCUGCGGUGAAUACGUUCCCGGG